AUUGAACGCUGGCGGCAGGCCUAACACAUGCAAGUCGAACGAGUGGCGGACGGGUGAGUGAUGUCUGGGAAACUGCCUGAUGGAGGGGGCUAACUACUGGAACCGGUAGCUAAUACCGCAUACCAUCGGAUGUGCACAAAGGGGAUUAGCUAGUAGGGGGGGUAAAGGCUCACCUAGGCGACGAUCCCUAGCUGGUCUGAGAGGAUGACCGGCCAAACUGGAACUGAGACACGGUCCAGACUCCUACGGGAGGCAGCAGUGGGGAAUAUUGCACAAUGGGCGCAAGCCUGAUGCAGCCAUGCCGCGUGUAUGAAGAAGGCCUUCGGGUUGUAAAGUACUUUCAGCGGGGAGGCGUUACCCGCAGAAGAAGCACCGGCUAACUCCGUGCCAGCAGCCGCGGUAAUUC
rnacentral:rRNA from 1 species